GAUGAAGAACGUAGCGAAAUGCGAUACGUAAUGUGAAUUGCAGAAUUCAGUGAAUCAUCGAGUCUUUGAACGCACAUUGCGCCCCCUGGUAUUCCGGGGGGCAUGCCUGUCCGAGCGUCAUUGCUGCCCUCAAGCACGGCUUGUGUGUUGGGCCUCCGUCCUCCUCCCGGGGGACGGGCCCGAAAGGCAGCGGCGGCACCGCGUCCGGUCCUCGAGCGUAUGGGGCUUCGUCACCCGCUCUUGUAGGCCCGGCCGGCGCUUGCCGACACAUCAAUCUUUUUUCCAGGUUGACCUCGGAUCAGGUAGGGAUACCCGCUGAACUUAAGCUUAUCAAUAAGCGGAGGA
rnacentral:misc_RNA from 1 species